rnacentral:rRNA from 1 species
GUCUACGGCCAUGCCACCCUGAAUGUGCCCAAUCUCGUCUGAUGUCUAAAGCUAAGCAGGGUCAGGCCUGGGUAGUACUUGGACAGGAGACUACCUAGGAAGACCAGGUGCUGUAGGUG